AGUGAACGCUGGCGGUAGGCCUAACACAUGCAAGUCGGACGGCAGCACAGUAAGAGCUUGCUCUUACGGGUGGCGAGUGGCGGACGGGUGAGGAAUACAUCGGAAUCUACUUUUUCGUGGGGGAUAACGUAGGGAAACUUACGCUAAUACCGCAUACGACCUACGGGUGAAAGCAGGGGAUCUUCGGACCUUGUGCGAUUGAAUGAGCCGAUGUCGGAUUAGCUAGUUGGCGGGGUAAAGGCCCACCAAGGCGACGAUCCGUAGCUGGUCUGAGAGGAUGAUCAGCCACACUGGAACGAGGACACUCUCCAGACUCCUACGUGAGGCAGCAGUGGGGAAUAGUGGGCAAUUGGGGCAAGCCUGGUCCAGCCAUACCGCGUGGGUGAAGAAGGCCUUCAGGUUGUAAAGCCCUUUUGUUGGGAAAGAAAAGCAGCAGGUUAAUACCCCGCUGUUCUGACGGUACCCAAAGAAUAAGCACCGGCUAACUUCGUG
rnacentral:rRNA from 1 species